CGCAUGCGUCAUGUCGCAAAAGGAGGAGGCAGAGCGGGAGCGGGAGGACGACGUGGACUCGCUCCCGCAACGAAGAAGGAGACCUCUUCGACGGCGACGUGCCUUCGCAGGCCGGACGCUGCCGCAGAGUUAAGGUGUGGUUGGCGGCGGAGCCAGUUUGUUGAUCCGCCGCGGGGCUUCAAGCUCUGACGCCCAGCCUCCAGUGGCGGACUC